GACGAACGCUGGCGGCGUGCUUAACACAUGCAAGUCGAACGGAAAGGCCCUGCUUUUGUGGGGUGCUCGAGUGGCGAACGGGUGAGUAACACGUGAGUAACCUGCCCUUGACUUUGGGAUAACUUCAGGAAACUGGGGCUAAUACCGGAUAGGAGCUCCUGCUGCAUGGUGGGGGUUGGAAAGUUUCGGCGGUUGGGGAUGGACUCGCGGCUUAUCAGCUUGUUGGUGGGGUAGUGGCGUACCAAGGCUUUGACGGGUAGCCGGCCUGAGAGGGUGACCGGCCACAUUGGGACUGAGGUACGGCCCAGACUCCUACGGGAGGCAGCAGUGGGGAAUAUUGCACAAUGGGCGGAAGCCUGAUGCAGCAACGCCGCGUGCGGGAUGACGGCCUUCGGGUUGUAAACCGCUUUCGCCGGUGACGAAGCGUGAGUGACGGUAAUGGGUAAAGAAGCACCGGCUAACUACGUG
rnacentral:rRNA from 1 species